rnacentral:rRNA from 1 species
AUUGAACGCUGGCGGCAUGCCUUACACAUGCAAGUCGAACGGCAGCACGGGAGCAAUCCUGGUGGCGAGUGGCGAACGGGUGAGUAAAGUAUCGGAACGUGCCCAGUCGUGGGGGAUAACGUAGCGAAAGUUACGCUAAUACCGCAUACGAUCUAUGGAUGAAAGCGGGGGAUCGCAAGACCUCGCGCGAUUGGAGCGGCCGAUAUCAGAUUAGGUAGUUGGUGGGGUAAAGGCUCACCAAGCCGACGAUCUGUAGCUGGUCUGAGAGGACGAACAGCCACACUGGGACUGAGACACGGCCCAGACUCCUACGGGAGGCAGCAGUGGGGAACUUUGGACAAUGGGCGAAAGCCUGAUCCAGCCAUGCCGCGUGCAGGAUGAAGGCCUUCGGGUUGUAAACUGCUUUUGUACGGAACGAAAAGGUUUGGGCUAAUAAGCUGAGCUCAUGACGGUACCGUAAGAAUAAGCACCGGCUAACUACGUGCCAGCCGCCGCGGUAA